UACGGAGGGUGCAAGCGUUAAUCGGAAUUACUGGGCGUAAAGCGCGCGUAGGCGGCUUUGUCAGUCGGAUGUGAAAGCCCUGGGCUUAACCUGGGAAUUGCAUUCGAAACUACAGAGCUAGAGUAUGGUAGAGGGAAGUGGAAUUCCGGGUGUAGCGGUGAAAUGCGUAGAUAUCCGGAGGAACACCAGUGGCGAAGGCGACUUCCUGGGCCAAUACUGACGCUGAGGUGCGAAAGCGUGGGGAGCAAACAGG
rnacentral:rRNA from 1 species